rnacentral:misc_RNA from 1 species
GAUGAAGAACGCAGCGAAAUGCGAAAAGUAGUGUGAAUUGCAGAAUUCAGUGAAUCAUCGAAUCUUUGAACGCACAUUGCACCUCUCGGUAUUCCGGGAGGUAUGCCUGUUCGAGCGUCAUUUGUACCCUCAAGCUCUGCUUGGUGUUGGGUGUUUGUUCCGCCUCUGUGUGUGAACUCGCCUCAAAACAAUUGGCAGCCGGCGUACUUGUUUCGGAGCGCAGCACAUUUUGCGAUCCAGAUCAACGUACAGCGGCAUCCAAGAAGCCUUAUUUAACGCUCUUGACCUCGGAUCAGGUAGGGAUACCCGCUGAACUUAAGCAUAUCAAUAAGCGGAGGA